rnacentral:rRNA from 1 species
AACGAACGCUGGCGGCAUGCCUAACACAUGCAAGUCGAACGAGACCUUCGGGUCUAGUGGCGCACGGGUGCGUAACGCGUGGGAAUCUGCCCUUUGCUUCGGAAUAACAGUUAGAAAUGACUGCUAAUACCGGAUGAUGUCUUCGGACCAAAGAUUUAUCGGCAAAGGAUGAGCCCGCGUAGGAUUAGGUAGUUGGUGGGGUAAAGGCCUACCAAGCCGACGAUCCAUAGCUGGUCUGAGAGGAUGAUCAGCCACACUGGGACUGAGACACGGCCCAGACUCCUACGGGAGGCAGCAGUGGGGAAUAUUGGACAAUGGGCGAAAGCCUGAUCCAGCAAUGCCGCGUGAGUGAUGAAGGCCUUAGGGUUGUAAAGCUCUUUUACCCGAGAUGAUAAUGACAGUAUCGGGAGAAUAAGCUCCGGCUAACUCCGUG